rnacentral:lncRNA from 1 species
UCUCUCUCUUCAUCUCUGAUGAAGAUGAAUCUUCAUCUUCAACAUCUUCAUCUUAAAAUCGUUUUCUUUAGGUCCAAGUCAAGUGGCUAACUAAGUUUGAAGAGUAGAUAACCAUUUUUUAACAGUAGAUUACUACAUGGCUUAAUUAAUAUAUGUGUGGGAGCGAGAAGUGAGAGAGUAAGAGAGAGAGAGGAGUCAGAGAAGACAGUGGAUGGCGGUAGCGCUGCCGCUCACGGCGGCGGCAGUAGAGACACAGGCGGCGGCGGUCCAGGUUGUUCCGACGAGUGUCAAGGUAACCCCCCUCUCGCUUCCUUUUACCGUACUGAAGUCGGAUAAUGAUGGAUCAGGAUGAUGAUGCUGUUUUUUUUUUUAUAUUUGAUUGAUGAUGAUGGAGUCGGUGGUGGCCGACGAUGGCAGCCGGCGAAGCAGCGGCACAGCGGCGACGAUAGUAAAGGUGGAGUCGGUGGUGGUCGACGAUGACGGUAAAGGUGGGGGUACGUCGGAGCUCCGAUCCGGUCGGCGACGGUAAUGUAGGUUCCGGUGACCCAUGUAAAUAUACCGAUCACCUUUAGAAGUGCUUAAGAUGUUUUUGGAUUGUUUUUUGGGUUUUGUUGGUUACAUGAUAUGUUGCUUAAGAUGUUUUUGGAUUUUUUUUGUUGGUUACAUGAUAUGGUAGGUCUUUGUUGUUUCCAUUGGGUUUUGUAAAACGUAAAAAUUUUAACGUAAAAUGUAAAAACGAUCCGUGAGGCUGAUGUCGACGGUGAUGGUCAGAUCAACUACGAGGAAUUCGUGAAGGUCAUGAUGGCGAUGUGAGAACCUUUAACAUCAAACCCAUCUUUUAUUUUAGAAAGAGGUAUUAAACACUUUCAGUAGAAAUUAAUGGAGUUUGUUGGGUGCAUUUUGUUUGAUCUUAUUUUAGAAAGAGGUACUCUACUUAGUUCCUUCUUUCAAGCCAUUCAUUUUCUUCUACUCUGAAAUUAGUUAUAAACCUUGAAUAGUUGGUUUGGUUCAAUCUUUCUUGAUUUAUGCUUCAUCGUUGUGAUUUUACAGUUUGAUGUUUUGUGCCAAUACAUGAUACUUGCCAUUGACACGAGACCCGGUAACAUAUUAACGAUGCGGAUUUUUAUUACAUAAUAUAUUUUAUAGUUAACGCGAACCGAGAUCGAACCGAUACUUUAGUGACUUGUAACGUUUGGCAUUUUGAUGAAAAUUUUAUAUAUAUUGUUUUGUUUUGUAUUGUUGAGAAGAUAUUGUUUGUGUUUUGAAAAUAUAUCAGCACUUUAGUUGUCGGGAUCGUUCAAAAACAGGGGAAACUCUGUCCGUUUUCCGUUAAAUGGGGGCGUAAAAAAAUGGGGAAACGUGACGUAAGUUUUUUUUUUGUUUUUUGUAAAAGGUUUAAACCCGUAAAAAAGUAGUUUUUAGU